CGCGCUGAUUGGUCGCCGCCGCGCCCGGGCGCCCAAGAGAAGUGGCGGCAAGCGGGGGGUGUGGGAGCCGCGUGCGCGCUCUGCGUCAUGACUUCCCCUCCCCCACCGCGUGCAGCGCCGGGCUGCCGCAGCGGUCCUUGCAGGGUGCAGCCGGGGGCCCCGCUGCGCCGCGGGCAGCUCGCAGCUGGUUUCGGAAGAGGGGGCGCUCAGCCCGCAAGGGUUCGGGGGGGUUGGGUCUCCUGGAAGGGGGGAAUCUCCGGGAGGGGGUCUUCUUCCUUGUGGGGAGGCUGGAGCAGGAGGCUGAGAAGCGCUGCUCGGGGGCUGCAGCUCCUGAGCUGAAGGCGGCCGCUGCUCGGGGGAGCUCCGACCCAGCGGGGGAGUGGGGCCCCCGGAGAGGCGAGGCUCCAUCGCAGCUGUCACAAAGCGCUUCCCUUGGAAGGAUGAAGCCCACCACCAAGGGCUGCGCUAAAGGUGCUGCAGCCUCCAUGUGCCUACCCAAGAAGAGAUGAGAAGGAUGCGAGUGCUGCAGAAAACAGCUUUCCUCCAGCCCCAGCUGUGGCUCUUCCUCAUCAAACAGCGUGUGUAAGGGGCACUGGGCUCGCACAGAAAUCUGCUAUAUUGGGCACACCUGAUGUCAAAGAGUUGUUCCGUGUGCAUGAUUUGGGUGGUACAAGAUCCUGGGGUGCCUUUGGAAAGGGCUGGGAAUUACCUGAACAUCCCCUUCCUCACUGAAAUUCAGUGGCAUCCAAAGCUCAGGAGGUGCUCCAGGGCUAGCACUUUCAACACAUUUUUAUAUGCAUUGGUUAACUAAAUACUCUCCUAGCUACUGUAUUAGUGCCCUUAACUCUAACAUGACAACAACUAUAAGGAUAUUAAGCAUGAUCCUAUGUCAAGUCAUACUAGUUCUUACCUACUUCUACCUGAACAGCAUCCCUUGUCCGUAAUAGCAUCGCAGCCCGUGUUCUCUUCACUUCUGUAACAGUGUCAAAUUCUUUUGGUCAGCCCAUUGGAGGCAGAGAGCCCAGGAGGCAAUAGGAAGCCCACAAAUGGUACAUGGGGGGAGGAGGAGAAUCCCCUUGAUGGGCUGGGAUUAAAUGACACUACAACUAGCACUAGAAAUAAUCCACACCUGGUAGCACUUAAAACUGACGUUUGUCGGGUAUGAAUGGUCAGCAGCCCAAGCUACAACUGAACCAGCUCUGACUUUUGAAGCAGAACGUGAAGGUAGUUGACUGCUCUUUUGUCACUGACUGCAGUUCUGUAGAACCCACCACAGUAAGAAUGAAAAUCUUCACAAAGACUGGAAAUAAAUAUGGUGCAGCGUCCUGCUGGUGAAGAAGGCCGUAGAGAAUGUUUUCUAUCUGGUUGAAUUUCUAGAGGCUGAUUCAUCUGAGAUAUACUAGUAAGGGAAGGCAGAAAUCAAAGCCUGAAAUUGGUGUCCUGUAAGCUUUUGGGGGGGGGGGCAAACAUUGUCCUGUUCUGGACAGUGCCCAACACAACGUGCCCUGUGAUUUGGCUUCCAAGGUGCUCCAUACUACAUAUCAAUAGGGACUAAUCUAUGCACUGUUUUUGUACUGGGAAAAUGUAUUCCAGGUAGUAGUGUGAGACCUUUUAUUUUCAAUGGAAAGAGUAGCAGUCCAAUCCCUAGUGUAGACAAAGGAUGGCAAAAGAUCCCUUCUUUCUGUGGCAGGGGUGUCAAACUCAUUUGCUCCUGUGUCCCCUGCCGCCGCCCCCCCAACCCCUGCAGCAGGGUAAGCAGGAAUGGCAAUAACCCCUAUGGGUGCUUAAGCCACUGUUUGUUCAGGGAGCCCUGGGGCAUAACACUUCUUUUGUUGCAGCAGCAGCUUACGUAUGGCAAACAAGUCCCCAGUGAAGCUCUAUACCCCAGAAUUCAGUGGCAGAGAGAUGGAUUUCAAAUUCACCCCUGUGGGUGCCUGAACUACUGUCAGUUAAGGGGGCUGUAGAGGUUAAUGUUGCUAUUACUUGUCCCAUCCUUAAAUCUCCAGCCCCUCUGGGGGACUGUGGGCCAUAUGUUUGACACCCUUGCCACAGGAGGAACUGCCAUAACAUAUAACCACAUGACAUUUCAUGGAUGUGAACAUACAUGUCCCUUUAACUACCAGGAUAGUUAAAGCAAUACAACUUUCACAUGUGGACAAUACCUGAGUCAAACUCCUGAGAUGCACUGAUGCUAAAUAAAGUCUUGCAGAAAAGGAGAACAAGGAACAAAGGUGCAGCUGCAUAAUUAAACCAAGGUGAAGAGGGUGUCUCAGCGGUUUGUGCUGUAGGAGGAAGAGUAAUUAGUAACACAAUCAGGCUCUAUUGUAUUAAAUAUGAAUGCCAUGGGGAGAAGGGGUGAGUAGCCAGAUAUAGUCAACCUGAUUCUCUCAGGCAACAGGUACCCAUAGGCUGAUAACAGGGAGGGAUGAGAGGGGCCCCAUUUUUCAGACGGAAGUAGGAAAGUCCUGUCUGUCUGCAGAUAUGCAUGAGACUGUUUGAGCAGAGGUGUCCCAUCUCAUUCUGCCUUCAGAGAAACAGUUCAUGUCUCUCUAACUCAUCCUUGUUUCUGCUGACAUAUGGCUUCCCUGGCACUUUAGAAACCACUCACCAUUGAAAUGUAGCUGCCUCUGAGGAGGAAGCCAGCUACAGGAGGGAGAGGAAAGUUUAACUGAGGACACUAGCAGAAAAUCCUCCUCUUGAUAUAAAAGGUGCCAGGAGCUCAACACCCAGCAGCCAGAUAUUACCUUAGACAACCUUCCUCUUCAAGUUCUAGGCACAGUGAAUGCCAUGGAACUCCAUUUAUCUCUGAGAAGCUCCUAACCCUGCCAAGAGAUGAACCAGUGGAGGAAUGGAGUAUAAAUUUUUAAAACCUGUAAGGUUCCAACUUUGUCAUCCUUUCAAGCCAUGAAGCCCCUCAUAACACUCCAUGUUGGAGAAACUGAGACACAUCAAGAUCAUAUGGUGUCUGAGUGGUAGGGCCAGAAAUAGAGCCCAGGAGUCCUGGCUCCUAGUACUUUAUCCACAGAUACUGCUCCCUUCCCCUCCUACCCUGCUAAGUGCCUUAGCCUGGAGGGAAGAGUAUGCUCUUCUAAGGCAAGAAAGAAGGAUGUACAAAUAUGGAACAGGAACCUGUCCCUAGGGAGGUGGGUGAGUAUUAACCCUGCUUUAUAAUCGGGAAGUUGGUCCAAGGUCAGGCAGAGGUGAAAAUGGAAUGCAGGUGUCCUUGCUCUUCACCCUGGUUUACAGGUGGAGACUAGCAAAAUGACACAUCUAAGGUGAUGCAGCUAGGCAGUGGGAGAGCUGAGGAUGGAGCCUAGGGGUCCUGGCUCUGCCUGGUUUUUCAGCCUCUCCUCAUUUUUUAGCUAUGCUCACCAGCUGUACAUAAUAAUAACUAGCACUUUUCAGAGCAGAGGACUUCAGUCAUCUCCUGUAUGUGGAAAAGGAAGCAGAGGCACAGAGAGGGAAAACAAACUGCCUAAGGUUAACCAGACAGCCAGUAGCCCAGCUAGGAAUAGAGCCCAGAUCUCCUGAAUCCCAGUCCUGUCCUCUGCAAAGAGUGUGAACUUCCCUGUGGGUGAUGAAUAUUCCCUGUGAUGCACACAUCCUGCUGUAUAGCUAGACUCACUGAUGGAGGCCAUUGCUGAGGGUACAGCUGCUUAAUCUGCUGUGCAUGUGUUAGGUCUAGAUUCUCUUACUUGGUUCACUGACUGCUUGAGUGAAUCAUCCAAAGGUAGAGCAGGACUAGAAAAUGUGCUUGGUGCCUGGAGUCACCGUGCUGGAGUUAGAAGAGAGGCUACUUCCCCACCUUCAACUGGAUGUGGGGACCUUUCCUUCCUGUGUUAAACUAUCAUGCUGUGUUGCUGUGCAGCUGUUAACUGCUUCCCAAGUUCUGUCCCAGAGAGGGAUGUGAUUUCCUGUUAGGCAAGCAAUCCCUGUGCUGCUGUGCCAAUGCCAAAUGAUUCCUAUGUUCCCCCCCAGAGCAGGUCACACUUUGCUGGGUAAGUGAUUUUUGUUGCAUGGCUACUAAACAGCUCACGUGGGCUUCCUGAGGUGGCUGCACUUCAGCACUGAGUGAACAAUCCCUCAGCUUUACUGUGGCUGUUCAGUAGUUACCAUGUUGCUCCCCAGCGACCGCUGGAUUUUAGCAUGAGGUCUGUGAUUCCUGGGGUGCUACAUAAAUAUUCUGCCUUGGAGAGGGCUGCCCUGCCUUGGUGGGCUGAUACCAUGUUGCUUUGUUACAUUUUAAAAGCACACUUCCAGGAAAAGCAACAGGCAAUUCCUACUGCAGUAACUGGCAAAGGAAACGCAUGGUGGAGGUUGCAGCAGGAAGAAACCUGGCCCAUAGCAUUGGGAAGAUUGAAGAAGCAACUGAAAUACUGGCAGUGUUAGAAGGCUGACUUCAUCACUAUCUGGAUGCUGCUUUGAGAUCAUCACCUGGGAAGAGUGCUGAAAAAGCUUCACAUCACUUGAGUUGUUUAAGACUGCUUCCUAUUUAUAACUUGAUUCAUGUUGCAUGAGUGACAUGUUAUUCAGGCUAAAGGAAUGGCCGGUCUCUUGUACUAGCUUCUCUGCCCAUCUCUGGCAUCCCUCUUCUUAGGGAGGCAAGCAGUAGCGUUUGGGCUCAAGAAACCAGGUGCUUCCGGCCAUCAUGGGAACCUGGUAUCUGCUCACACAAAACACAGCUCUGGCUGCUGGAUUUGACCAAAAAGUACCCUGGGCUCUGCAUGAGCCCAGGCCUUUAGACACAUGAGAGAGCACAUGUGCUUCAGCAUGCAGAGCCAGGCUUUCAGGAUAUUCAGCGUUAUGCGCAGGUCCAUGUAUGUGCCCGCCCAUCAGCCAGGCUGAUCCUAGUUACUUCCUGAGGGGGUUGCUUCUGUAGGACAGCCAAGGAGGAGGGGCUUUAGAAGCCACACAAAUCCAGUGCUGAAACCUGGUGUAAAAUCAGGCUGGAAAGGGGAAUCUGAGACAGCACAUCCUGCUCUCAUUGGUAUAUCAGACAGGCUGUUCACUUGAUAUCUCACUGUUUUGCUCUUCAUUGCCAUAAACGGUGUGUUCAGCCUUCAAGCCCUUCACAGAGGGUUUAUAUCAUCCUUUGCUUAUAUAAACAAGAGGAGGAAAUGCUGGAAUCCUCCUCCAGUUAGGCAGCUGAGCAACGCUAGGAGCAGUCAAGGUGCUUUGGGUAAUUGGGUCAUUAUUUUAGCAGGUGGAGCAGUUUGAGAACAAAGUGGCAAGCUGUCUGGUUUCUACUCCUAAAUCUGGGAAGGGGGGUGGGUUUCAGUGAGAGCAAAGAAUUGGGUGUGGGUCCCAUUGCCACUAAUGCACUGUGCGAGUGUAAAUUAGUCAUUUCAGCUCUGUCCCUCUUUUCCUUAUCUAUAGAAAAGUUUGUUUCCCAGGAGGAUUGUCAGCCUCAGUGUUGUGCUUCAAUAGCCUCAGGAAAGGAAGAGGCUGUUGUAAUACGAGGAGCUGCUAGAGGUCCUGUCUCUGCCACUGCUUUAACGUAUAGCCUUGAAAGAAUCUCUGGGCCCCCAUUUCUCCUACCCGUGUCAGUGGGUUGGAUUUCAGUGGGUAUUGGCUGUCUAGUUCCCUUCAUCUCCUUUGAAAAUCCAGUUAUAGAUGGCAAGCGCUAAACAGUAGGAGCUGUGUGCUGCCUGUGCAAGGGACUCUGCUCUUGCUUGACAUCUCUGGGUACUACUUUAAAAGCAAAGAAUAAAGUUUAGGUGAUCCAGGUUCAAAUGCUAGCAAUGUGUUUGGAGCUUGGCAAUGCAUGCAGAGCUGUGCCUGUACUAACUCUCACCAUUGAAGUGAAAUGUUUUUGAGGUAAAAGGCAACCAUAGAAACAGCCAGAAAUGAAGCACAGCAACUGUAACAAGGCAAAAGUGUUACUACAUAAUUGCUUCAGCCAAGAUUGAGAUAGUGGGGAUUUAGGAUAUUAGAUGUUGUUAUCCAGGAUUGGAACUGAUAAGGACUUUAGUCUUAACAAUCCCUACUGUAAUAAAAAGCAAUGACUGCAAACUACCCACAGUUCAUAUUUUAACUUUCAGCUGAAGCAGAGCCUCAACCAGGGUGAUGCAAGAUCUUUUGAAGGGUGCCAGGAUGUGUGCGGAGAUAAAUGCAGGCUCAGGGUUGUACCUGCCUAGCCCCUAGGGGGGCUCAGAUUCUAAAGGUUGAGACCCAUUAAUCUAAAGCCUGACUUCUCCAGCAACAUGGCAAUGGUGGGGCCCAACUCCAAGCAAAACAGUGCCUCCCUCCUGUACUAUAUAGCACUUGUGAUGGUGGUAGGCAGAACAGUUUACUUGGGGGAUUAGAACACCUCUUUCAUGGGUUUUGGCAUCCCUUUGUCACUCACAUUCACAACCUUAGGGUGCUGCUGGAUCCUCUGCUGUACCUGGAUCUUCAAGUAGCAGCAGUUCCAUCUGGUGAGAAGGCUGUGACCCCUUUAGAUUUGGAUCUGGCCACCCUCACCCAUAUCUUCGUAAUCUCAAUCCUAGAUUACUGCAGUGUGCCUCACAUACAGCUGCCUUUGAAGACCAUCCAGAAGUGGCAGCUGGCUCAGAAUGCAGCAAUCCACCUUCUGACGGAGGUGGGUCACCAGGAGCACAUCCAGCUCUCUGGAGUCUUCGAUAGUUACCAGUAGCUUUCCAGGCACAAUUCAAGGUGCUAUUUUUGACCCAUCCAGCCCUAAACGGGCCUGCCUUCCCUCUUAUGUCCCAUCACAAUUUCUAAGAAAAGCUGAGAGCAACCUAUAGCAUGUACCAUCAGUAAUACCAAGUCUGCUUAGUGAAAAACACGGGAGGUUUUUUUCCCAGCAGUCAUCCCUCAGCUCUGGAACUGCCUCCCACUUGAGACCCUCUAGAGCCUAGCUGGGACAUUUUUCAGAAGUACUUUAAGACCUCCCUAUUUGGGCAGGUGUUUAGCAAAGAGAGAGAGAAACUGAAAUAUUUAUGGGGUUUGUUCUGUGUUGAUAUUCUAGUUCCUUUUUAAGCUGUUCUUUUUCUUUUGUCAUUCUCCUGUUUUAUAAGAUAUUCUGUUUUCUUAUUGUAAGAUACUGUGCAUCCUUUUUGGAAAGGUUGGCAUAUAAACUGUAUAAAUACUU